GCCUGACACGACGGGGCUGCUCUUAAAAGGGCAACGUCAGCUAGCUCCCUGCUGCUGUCCAAGGGGCGGGGGGAGAGCGACUGGCAGGCGUGUCCCCACCAGCAGCCCCCUCUGUGCCUGUCUGUGGGUGAUCUGUGGUUUAUCACUGGCUGAGGCCCCUCCUGGCUCCCUGUUGAGGGAGGGAAGGUUCGGGCAUUGGCAUACAGGUCCAUGCACAGAUCCCUUUACCCCUACUCUAGCUCAGUAGAUAAAGCACCAGGCUGGGACUCAGUAGACCUGGGUUCCAUUACUGGCUUGGCCACUGCCUGCUAGGUGACUUUGGGCAAGUCACGUUGGUUCACUGUGUGUUAGCUUCCCCAUCUGCAAAAUGGGGGUGAUCAUACUGAUCUCCUUUGUAUAGCACAUGAUAAGUGCUAUAUAAGCAUUUUGUUCUAUUAUUAUUACAUGUAAUACUGCUUCUCUGAAUUAUAUACAUUAUGGCCCUAUUCUAUACACCCUCUUUGGACAUUUGUUACACUUAGCAUUUGGGGACCUCUUUGCUUCCUGCUCCUCAAGGAACUGAAAUUGAAUGUUCUGGAUGCACUGAGCUGGUGGCAGUUGGUCUCAGAAUGACGCAGGCCAGGACGCUUUGAGAGAUGGGGGAAUUAAGGUGCGGUCUCAGGUGCAGUUUUGCUCUCAAGGUUCCAGCCCAUGGUGAUAUAGACUCAAAGUCUCAUGAACAACAAAGGAUUGCCCUAGUGGGGCUGCCCGAUAUAAACAGUCCAAUUAACCUCUGUAUGUUUGUUUUAAUGUUUAUCCAAAUAAAGACAAAAACCCAACACACACUAGUUCCCAAUCCUAUGCUAUGAAAGCAGAGCUCCUCCUGCCUAGCACCAGGGACACUCCCUGAAGGAAGCAAUCACACACUAGCCUGCAGUCACCCAGAGUUCAGUUCUUUCAGUCCUGUCACCCCAUUUGCAGGUAUUCUCAAGUAUUCAACUAUCAAGGGGGCUAGCACGGGCCCCCUUGCCAACAACAGGCUGCUGCUUAGCCGUUCUCUCCCAGCUCAUGCCUUCUCUUCACAGGCUGCCUCUGACCUACUGCUCCUGCUCAAUGCAUCCUCUGGCUCCCUCCUGAGCCAGGUUCCCUCCCUUCCCAGUGCUGGAUGAAGUAUGGAGUCCUGUACUGGCAGGAUGUUGUGCUGGAAGUUAACACUGCCCUCUAGGAGCUCACAGAUUCAUCACAACACCUUGAGAGAAGCAGGAUUACAAGUGAUCUUGCUGCUGUGAGUAGAGAUGGAGGGGAGAGGUGAGGUGGAGAUAUAUAUUUCAAAAUUCAUCACCUGCCUUUGGUUCCAAGUGAGAGGAGGUGCUGCCGAUGGAUAGAGGGGACAGCAUUCAUCAUAUCAACACUAAGGAGCUGAGAACCAGAGUCCCAGCUGCUCUGCUAGAAACUCUUCCUGCGGGAGGGGGACAAAGGAACCAGCUCUAGAUAUGCAACAGGAAACCCAUAAACUACCUGCUCCUAAGGGUGGGAUAUAAAAUAUAAGGCCAUAAUCAUGGAAGUACAUUACUUACAAACACAAAAUACAGUACUACUGGAAAAUACAUUAACCAAAUAUCACUGUUUCAUACUGCAGAUGAUCAAAGGAUUACAUGAAUUUUAAUCCUUUGCAAAAUACAGUAUAAUCUCUCCCCUUUCACCUAUUAAUAUAUCUAUAAAAGAGCUAGUAACAUGGUUACAGGGCACGCAGCACUUUAGGCCCCUUUCAGCCCUUCUCGAGCAUAUCCUUCAGGUGACAGGCCUGGCUUCCUGCACCUUUCUCGAAGGGUCAAACCACGUGAUCCAUCCACUCUUGGAUUGCAUCUCUGGGGGGGCAACCCCUUUCUCAACCAUGUUAACCCAAGAGGCCCAGCUGUUUUCCCUCAUUGUUGUCCUUUAAUAAUGUUAGAUGGAAUCCUGUGGCUGAGAGUGAAUGGGUUGUAAAAGGAGGUGAAUAGCUUGUACAUUUCAGCAACUGUGGGGUUUGCAAAGUAAAGAAAUUUGUGUUAACAGGGCAAAUUGAAGCAUUGCUAAAAGAGGACAGAGUUAAGUUUGGAUGGACAACCUUAACUGCAUUUCCUGGUUUUCAGAAGUCUGAGUUUUUACUCAAUUCAACAUUCUGCAAGGGGACAAUAUACCACCAAGCAAUCUUAACUCUACAUUAACAUAGUUUUUUGCCUUUGAAUUCAUCCAAAGAUAUAUAGCAAGUAGAGGAAAGGGAUAAAACAAAGGUCUAUACUUGUAUUUCCCCUUACCUAAACCUUAAUAUUUCCUUGCAAGCUUUGGUAAAUUCCAUUCAGCCCAGUUACCUCCAUCUAUGUUUGGGAGAGAGAGAGAGAGAGAGAGAGAGAAGGGUCUGCUCAUUGCAGUUUUUCCCUUUCUCUGUGUCUUUGUCAGCAUCUCCUUCCUGGGCAGCUGCUGACAACCCACUCAACACUUCCCCCUCUUUUUUCCUACUCUAACAUCUCUGAGGUGCAAUGUGUUUUGAAGCUAGGCUUAGAUCUGGAAAGAGUAAACCUUGUUAGCCGGGUUGGAGCCAGGUAAGACCGUUUUCCAAUCAAUAGUUUCCCCAUUGUUUCUUCAAUGACCCUUGAUAUUCUGUGGACUGUACCUUAUCUUUGCCAUGGUUUUAUUUCCUGUUUGUUCUCCUCUUCUUCCCCUCCUCCAGCAGCCUACUUUGAUUUAACUCCUUGCAGUCAGAUAGUAUAAUAUCAACUAGGUAAACUGAGGUGCAUGUGCUAUUUGCAAAAAAAUAAUUAUACACAUAACUCCCUUAUUUUCCACAGCUAGAUAUUAUUAUCAGACAACUUUAAUAGAUGACAUUAAAAUGGAAAUGAAGGGCUUUGACCUAAUAAGAAAACAUCCUGCUUUAUUAGUAUCUACUCACCAUUAUAGUUUGUUAAUAUGUGACAUUCUUGAGUAUGUGCUUUUUUUAAUGGAUUUGAUUAUUAUACUAUUCUCAAACACACAUGCACACACUUCAUCAUGAAGCAUUUAAGGUUGCUAUACACACAACAUAUCUGACACUAACUAACAAAGCAAGGAAAUUAAAACAUAAGCCACCCAACUGUACAUAGCUCCUAGCUGUACACCCAGAGGCACUCACCUUACCCUUACUUCAGCAACCAUAAACCACAGACCACACACCAUGGUCUUAAUGCGGUAAAGGGGUAUGUGCAGAAUGUCAAUAUGGGCACGGUUAUCUCCCCCACUGCAACAACACUAGUAGUUGUGGAUGUUUGACGUAGUAGUUGGUUUUAUCAGAAAGGUACCUUGGAAAAGAGCUCUGUGCAGAAGUACCCAGAUAAAAGGGGUGUUAGAAGGCGAGCAUCCCUAGGGGGCAGAGCUAUGGUCAGAGUGCAGAGUCUGUAUGAUGCAGCGGUUGUAUGCACCGUCAAGUGUCUGAACUUUUCAUUUAAUUGCUUUUGUGGAUUACUGUAAGGGCCUCUUGUGUGGAGAAUCUCUAACUACUUCACAACAAACAUUUUUAUUUAUUAGUUUCCUAGGUUGUGUAAUGCUUUGUUUGGAGUGGCUUUGAUCAGGCAACCUAUAGAGCAGAGAAGUGGAGAUGUUGAUGAAUGAUAAUCAAUCAGCCAGCAGCUCCAUAUAAACAUUCAUGUGCCAGCAGUUGCCAAUGAACCCUUCUGUGAUCUUAGUUUUCUGUUACUUUUUUUUUUUAUCUCCUGACAGAGUAGGAUUUCUUUAUGUAUCCUGCACAGGCCUUCAAGCACAAAGUCCCAAUCCCUCAAAAAUGCAUGAACCUAGCUCACCAGGUGACUUGAGGGUAAGGCUAGAAAAGAUUGGUGGACUGUUAGGGGAUGUAUUCAGUCUCAUAGCUGCACCAGUCGUAGGGUUAGAUAUCAAGCCAAGCCUUGAGUAUGGUUAGGGUAGGUUGGGUCAGUUGAAAGAUCUGGGAAAAGGUUACACUUCAGGCAGUGCAAAGAUCUUGGACUAGGUUUAGCGUUACGGUUGUUGGUGACUUUCAGAAUGAAUUAUUGUAGGGAUCCCUGGGCUAUUGUAAUAUUGAGUCAAUUAGGUCUUAUUGGUAGAGUUGCCAGCCCUCCAGGAUUGUCCUGCAGUCUCCAGAAAGUAAAGAUUAAUCUUUCAUUGAGAGUAUGUCACAUGAUGAAAUCUCCAGGAAUAUAUCCGACUACAAUUGGCAACCCUACUUAUCGGGGCUAGAAUCAACACUGGGGCCUGGAGGGCUCCCUCAACAAAGCUUGGGGUGGGGCCGAAAGGCCUCCCUGGGCCAGCAUUAGGGUUAUAGGGAUGAUAGGCCUCCCUGGACCAGCAUUAGGGUUAUGGAUGAUAGCACAAAUCAGCCUACGGAUCAUUUGAGGGGCCCUGGGGCUCCCUGCCUAGUGCUAAGGUCAUUGCAGGUAAGGCUCUCUGGCCCAGAGUUACAAGGCAUACGUUCCCAGGGCCAGGGUGAGGGUUGCAAUUCAUACAGUUUUCUGGGCCAGGGUCUGGUCAUGUUCAUCAAGCUGGUGUUAGGUCCCGGGCUCACAAGGAUUCCUGGGAUGGAAUUUAGACCAGGGUCCACAACAUUUCCAUGGCCAUGCUUGAGGCUGGUUCUAGUUGGUGGCCUUAAGCUAGGGUUAGUCUGGGGUUUGGCUGGUGAUAGAGUUAGGGUUGGUUGGUGGUCAUUGGCUAAAGUUGGGGUUAGCAUUGGUGGCAGCUGUGUCCCCCACACUAAGGUUAGGGUGGAGUCCGUUUAUCAUCCCACCAAAAUUCCCAAAUUCCCAACAUUUAAAAAUUAAUAGUCAGACCCUCCCCCCAAAAAAUCGUGAGAUUGGCCACAGUAUCAUGAGGCUUUUUUAAGGAUGUUUCAAUGAUUUUGAACUAUUUCUGCCAUCCCCAGUGUGUGUAUGUGAAAAUUAGUGGUGCCAAUUUAUAGCAAGAAACAAGAUUUGCCCUCCUACAUCAGUUCAUUUAGUGCCCUCCAGCCUUCACAUCUGUCCCAGUCUCUAGCCACACGUCAACUGUUGUGUGGCUGAUUGGCAGCUCUGUACAUACACACCCAAACUCCAUGUCUCACCUCUGCUCCUCCUGGAGCUGUGGAAGAUCUUCAGCUUGCGAGGCAGGCAGGCAGCUCCGGGGAUCUUCACUCCCCUUUCUCACUCUUGGUGUGGUAAGCACAGAGGGGGGCAAGGGAAGAGCAGAUUACACAGAAGCUAACCUAUUGUUCAUAAACCACCCUGAGCUUUCUGCUCCCUCCUUCCCACUCCCCUUUGGUAAGAAUGGUGUCAGCUAAACCCCCUUCCCCCGCCCCCCCCCCCCGUCCCUCUCCUUCCCCAAAACUGCUCUGGCUUCUGAGGGGAGCAGGCAAGAGCCUUGCCUGCCUCCUGCAUGUGGCAGUCAUUGACUCUUCUUUACUAGGGGACAGGGAAUGCAGCCAAUCAGAGGGGGCUGUCAGAAAACAAACAAGUUACUGAAGGCUUGCUUCUUGUGUCAUCACAAGGCUAGCUCCAGCAGGGGCCAGAAUUGCAUUACUUGUCAUAAAAAUCACAAGAAUUCCCAACACUGGAUUAGGGUGGAGCCCCGGAUGGUGGCACCUAGCCAAGAUUAGGGUGGGGACCCAGCUGGUGGCACGAGGCCAGGGUUAGGGUGAGGACCCAGCUGGUGGCACGAGGCCAGGGUUUGGAGUAUUAUCAGUCCCAGAAAUCUGAAAAUAAUAGGUCAAACGCCCCCACCCCCCAAUAAUUUUUUUUUUUUCAAAAAAAGAUAAUACUGUGAUUUUUGCCAUCUGUCUCUUGAUUUUUUAACUCCCCAGGUCCAUCCCCCACUAUAUACAUAUGACAAUUAUUGUUGCCAAUUCUCCCAAGUUCAUUGGGGCCCCUGCUGGAGGAGCUCUCUCAGCUGACUCAUGGUGCAUUGCUCCCAGUUUCUCCCCAACCCCUGCAUUCUAAUUAAUUAGUUCUGAGCCAUCCCCCCUCAACUUCCCAUAGCAUCCACCUCUGCAACUAAUUAGACACCCUGCCCCUUACCCCCCAGUGCACCUCUGCUUUCGUGUAGCUCCAGGGGCUCUUCCCCUCACCAGAUGCUGACGGGAUGGAGGGGAGAGGAGCAGGCUGACCCAUUUUUCACAAGAGGGCAGGAGGGAGCAGGGCUGGCCAGAGCUGCAGGACUCUUUCUGCUCCCCUCUGACCUCCUGUGAGCAUGGUGUAUGCUGCUCCCUCUGCACCUGAGGGGGGAGGGCAAGAGUUCUGCCACCCUCCUGCAGCAGCUGUGAUUGGCCUCUCUUCCGCAGGAAAUGGGUAAGUGGAGAAAACAGCCACUCAGCAGGGGCUGUCCCAUGGUUAGGCCUGGAAAUGAUAUGAGGAGUGGAGCUUCUGGCCUUAUCUCCAUCCGGGCUCCAAGAGACACCAAAAUUGCCCUACAAUGAAAUCAAGAGCAUUGGCAACACUGGCAGGGCUGCGGGUGAUGAGGCUCCUUAGCCCAGGGUUAGAGUUAGAGAGGGUGGGGCUUCCUAGGCCAGGGUGGAGGCAUUGCAUGUCGUUUGCUGCUGUUGCUGGGGAGUUACUGACUAUAGGAACCUGUCAUCUGAGAUAGUCUGCAGCCACUAAUGGGCUUCUCACAUUAUCCAGUACCCUUUCCUGCCUCUUCCUCGCUGCUGCUGCUGUCUGGGAACCCACAUGGUGCAGCAAGAUAGGAUGUAGAAAGGUCAUCGGUGCAGCAGAUUCCACAGCAAUGCUAGGGUAUGUCUACACUGGAGCUGGAGAUUUAAUUUUCAACUUGAGGAGAGAUACCAGCAUUAACUCUGAUUGAGCUGGUGCACUAAAAAUAGCAAUGAGGCUGUGGUGAUGCGAGCAGCAGGAAAGGCUAGCUGCCUCAAGUAUGAUCCUGUCCCAGAUGCUAUGUACUUGGGGAAGCUAGCCUCUCCCACUGCUUCCACCACCAUGGCCACACGUCUCUGUUGUUAGCGCACUAGCUCAAUCAGAGGUAUGCCUCAUUGAGCUGGAAAUCACCCUUUCCCACUCCAUUGUAGACAUAUCCUUAGACAGCCUGGGGUUGCAACUGCAGGCAAAGACCUACUGUCAAUUCAAGGAAACUGCACCUGUAUUCCCCUUGUGGUCCUGCAAGGCACCCAUUUUUAGAUUCCCAGUACCUCAGCUGUCACCUCUCUUGGGCAGAGACUUGCAUCUCUCUUCCUCAUCACUGGGGCUUUUCCAGGCUACACAGUUCCCUGCCUAUACUGUGAAUUCACCAACAAAGUCAAGUUGCCUAAGCAGGCCUGCUUUGCCUUCUCUUGAGAGGCUAUAAACAGUGUAAUUGCCACAGUUAUAAAAGUACCACACAGCUCUUUCUAAGCAAGCACAUUUAUUCUUUAGGUGAAAGCAAUAUGGAGAAAACAUUAAAAACAAGAAGAGAAGCUACAUGCAUGCUAAAAUGCUCAGCAGAGAUCCCCUCCCCCAUCUCCCACAGAGGCUCUGGUCAAUGUCAGUCCUUCCAACCCUUCCCUAAGGAUUGGAGCCCUCCCCUUGGACAGAUGGUCCUGUCUGUUUUCCAUGUAAGAAUGAAGGCCCUGAGUCAGUUUAAACUCAGGUUAUUUAUCCAAAAGUCCUUUCUUUGUCUGUUGGCCUCUGAAGAAUCCAGUCUCAACUAGUAUAUGCACGACUCCACAGGAGGGGGUGCCCCUUGUGAGGUGUUACAAUCUGAGUGAAUUUGUUUAGGUCACCCUAUGCUGUUCUUAGUGCCUGAAGGGACUGUGGUCACCCUCCCCCACGCAAUUACAUACAAUCCCUGGCCCAAUGAUACAUAAAAUUCAUACAGUAAGAUUUCCCAAAGAUACUACAGGAAAUUGCCAUUUCUGGCAGACCCACAGCUCAGCUGAUGUGUGAGAAUCCAAUUGAAAUGUGGGCAUAUGUGAGAGAGCUAUCAAAUGAAUAAGCAGCAUAUGAGACACUUGGCCAUCCUACUUUGGGUCCAGUUCAUGGUUAGUAAUGGGACCAGUUUCUAGGGGAAAGCUAGCUUUAGGGAUGGGGGCAAUUUGCAGGCCUGGGUUAGUUUGGGGCCCUUAGCAGGGGACUGGACUAAGCUUAGGUUUGAGGCCAGGAGGUAAGUGUGGGAUAGGUUUAUGGCAGGAUACAGGCUUUGACUAGACUUGGGCUGUGGCUAGGUUGGCAGGCCCAAGCUAAGUUUUGGGUUAGUAUAGCUGGCAGGUACAGGCUAAGUUUGGGGGUGGGGCCCUUUGGUGGGCCUGGAGAUUCAGAGCUGGAGCUUGCUGGCAGCCUAAGAGAGGCUCGGUGCUGGUGAUUAGGGUUGGGGAUGUUGCAAUCAGUAAUUCGAUUCACAAUUAUCAAUACCUUGUGCUUUGAGUUAUUUUUUUAAAAGUCCACAACUCCCUUUAAAACGUCAAUUGUAAAAUAUUAACUAUACUCUGCUUGGGGAAGUGAGAUUGAUGGUAAGAUGUUGUUUUGUAGCUCAUCCCUUCAGGAGGUCCUAUUCAUGAAACAAUAAUAUGUCUGUGUCGUCAGUAGUACACAGUAUUCUUCAAAUGAUAAAACUGCAAACAUUAAACAAACCAUGGUACUCUUCUUUAUCUCCACAAAGUAGCAAAUCUUGUUUCCUGCAUAUUUUCACAGGAACAUGCAGAGCUGUUGAUGUUAAAAUGUUGUUGCAGUGCAGCUGUCCUCUGCUGCAGAGGAAAGCAGUUGUAACAGGAUAACUCCCAUUCCACCGGAAAGAGUGUACUGUCCACUUUAAAGGAAUAAUAAAGUAAGCACUCUCAUGCUGGUUAUGCAAUUCCAGUAUAAUCAUAUUUGACUUUUACUUUCAUCACUAUCUUUAUAGCUUUACUGGCUGGCUCACGCUUUUAUUAGAAUGGAUGGAUAUAAACUGUUCAGGAAAGACAGGCACGGCAGAAAAGGUGGGGGAGUUGCAUUGUAUGUAAGAGAGCAGU